UAUUGCAGAGUGCGGGGUAAAACUAAACUCACUCACUCCAAAAUACCUGUCAUUGUACAAUUGGGAUAUGAUACAAAGUUUAUGUGGGGUGAGAAUUUUUCACGGAAUUCCACUGAUUUGAUCACACUGGGGUCAUUCUUGUGAAUUGUCUAAACCUGCGGCCCCCAAGACCCUGGCACAUAUUCCUCUUUUUGCAUUUCUACCCAUUCUCAUCCGUGAUACUAUCGGUUAGAUGAUGCAAAAUGUAUCUGCCAACACCACACUGACUGUCAAAAUGAAGCUAUGGAUUAUAAUGGCUAUCAUUAUAACUAAGGGAUAUUACUGAGUGGGAAACACAAGAUGUUUCAAACAAGAAAUAUCAUAAACGAACUGACAUAACAAGCUAGUUUGGGAUCCCGGCCACUUGAUGUAUGUGUUAGUCGAAAUGUAUACAACUAAAAUUGGUUAUGACAAACUGCAGUUAAGCAGGACUCACACAGGUCGGGACGUCAUAAUGACCUACCGAUUUCCUUACAUUGUACAACAUGGUCGGUGGUUGUAACGAAUAUCGACUGAUCAAUUAGCUACCUCUAACACGAUUCAAUCUAGGGUCAAUCUCGUAAUAUCUCGCGGUAUUCUGUAUCCAUGGUAUCAAACUGUCGGAAGCAGACAUAGUAGCAGUUAUCUGCUGCGCGAUACUAUGUGAAGAAGCCAAAGCAAAGAAAAAGAUAAUUUUUUGGACAAAAUUAAGUUUCUCUGUCCCAACACGCAUGGAGCAUACAACCAUCUCAUUAAAGAACUUGAAAUUGAAGACAAACAAUCGUGAAAAUUCAAGGUGUGGUUUCUUUGAAGCAGACGAAGCCAUGUUUCGUGCUUGUAAACAUUUACCACGUGACACCAACACACAUCCAACUUGCCGAAUAUCUAGAACAGACUCUACACACUCACAACACAAUCAACACGGGUUAAACUGGCAGAUUUGUACUGUUUGUUGAAUUCAAUUAAUCACUCAGACGAUAUGAAUCCAUCAAAUUCGGCAUAUUGUUUGGACAAGCCAACCCGUGUGAGUCCGCCUUUAUAAUGAUCUGAAACUAGUGGUGCAUUUGUGUUCAUGAUAACCGUUCUUUACUGUACAUCUGUACAUGAGCUGUAUCGAUACAAAGCUAAGGUUAAUGGGUCCAUAGUGCUUGUCAUUCUACAAUGGGGACAUUAUGGACUGGAUACAGGGAAGACGUCCAACAAGGAGGUCAUGAGUGAGAGUGUUCCGGUGCUCUGGUGCAGGGUUCUGGCCUUGUACACGCUCCCCCUCACCUUUGCCAGCUAACUCCCUUCCAGCUGGAACAACAAACCUCAUCAUCGUCUCACUCUGUGGUUUUAAUGAUUUCUGAUGUCAUAUAGAGGAACUUUCUAAAUUGAAAACCACUUCUUUCUCAUCAUCGUCAUCACCAUCAUCAUACACAUACAAUGGACCUAAUGUUAAAUUAUUUAUUCAGUUCAUCAGAUGCUCACUUCUAACACAAUAUAUUUAGCUUUUUCGUUAACAGAUAAUAUCUUCAAAAUUAUCAUGGACGGUAAGAAUCAAAGAAUAGACUCGCGUAGUUUGUCCAUAUCGAUGCCUCUGACUUCAUGUUAUAAAACAUGAAGCUUUUUUGAUUGAUUUUAUUCACUGUUAGCGUAGAAUAUUUAUUAAACUAUAUAAUAUUUAUUCAUUCAUAUCAUAUUUAACGCUCAUGCUUCAUUUAAAUACUAUCCUAACCAGCAUGCUUUUUGUGUGUGUAGUCGAGGGAGUGGUUUUGUUGCUUCAUGGUGUUGUUGAAUUGUGAAAGAAAGAAAAAUCUUCUUUAUGUGUAUUUUUAAGGAGUUUGUUCCCACCAUACGUUGCUGUAUUUGAAUAGUUAAGAAUUUGUUAUCCUUAAUGUCUUAUCCUGAAGAAAUUUCUUCUGUUAAAAUAACUUUAUUUCGAAUAAUGAAAUAAGGAUUGACAUUCUGAAUUUAUUGAUGGUAAUUCUUGUGAAUGAGAAUAUGGCUAAUGUCUCUCAAUGUCAUUACAUACAUGUGAUGGGAGGUAAGUAUGACUACCAGCUCUGAUCAUAACUUGGUUACAUCUGAGUGUUAUGUUAAUCAGUAAAAAGAAAAAUCAGUAAAAUAUGUGAAAAAAUUGGAUAUUCCUUCUUUUGAGUAGUAUAUUAUCAUUGCUGGCAUGGAAAAUGGCUUAUGGGAAGAAGCAUGUCACUUUAGACCCUGGUAUGUUUUCAGUUUCAAUAGUCCCAUAUAUCAUUCAUUAAGUUAUAUAUACUGUAGGCCUUGACUUGAUGUUAGCAGGAUUUCUCUUGUUUGCUCUGCUUGACAUUGGUCUCCUUAUGAUGUUGUACUAACACACACUUUGGGGUGAUCGUUCCCUCGCUGGGAGGAGCUGAGUGGUUCUUUUAGGUGUUAUACUAACUCUCACACUUGGGGGGAUUGAUUUCACGCUGCGGGGUUCUUCAUGUCUUGGUUACUUAACAUAUAUCUAACAGAUGGAAGAGACAUGGAAUGGAAGGCUGGGGUAAAGUAGGCAUUGACUGGUAGUCUGGGGUAGGUGGGCAUUGACUGGUAGUCUGGGGUAGGUGGGCAUUGACUGGUAGUCUGGGGUAGGUGGGCAUUGACUGGUAGUCUGGGGUAGGGCGGGCAUUGACUGGUAGUCUGGGGUAGGGCGGGCAUUGACUGGUAGUCUGGGGUAGGUGGGCAUUGACUGGUAGUCUGGGGUAGGUGGGCAUUGACUGGUAGUCUGGGGUAGGUGGGCAUUGACUUGUAACUUGGGGUAGGUGGGCAUUGACUUGUAACCUGGGGUAGGUGGGCAUUGACUUGUAACCUGGGGUAGGGUGGGCAUUGACUGGU
rnacentral:lncRNA from 1 species